AUUGAACGCUGGCGGAAUGCUUUACACAUGCAAGUCGAACGGUAGAGGGGGCAACCCCCUUGAGAGUGGCGAACGGGUGAGUAAUAUAUCGGAACGUGCCCAGUCGUGGGGAUAACGUAGCGAAAGUUACGCUAAUACCGCAUACGAUCUAAGGAUGAAAGCGGGGGAUCGCAAGACCUCGCGCGAUUGGAGCGGCCGAUAUCAGAUUAGGUAGUUGGUGAGGUAAAGGCUCACCAAGCCAACGAUCUGUAGCUGGUCUGAGAGGACGACCAGCCACACUGGAACUGAGACACGGUCCAGACUCCUACGGGAGGCAGCAGUGGGGAAUUUUGGACAAUGGACGCAAGUCUGGAUCCAGCCAUUCCGCGUGCAGGAUGAAGGCCCUCGGGUUGUAAACUGCUUUUGUACGGAACGAAAGGUUUGUAUUGAUAUGAUUUUGACGGUACUAUCUAGAAUAGCACGGCUAACUCCGUGCCAGCAGCCGCGGUAAUGUCAC
rnacentral:rRNA from 1 species